ensembl:snRNA U6 U6 spliceosomal RNA
GCGCUUGCUUCAGCAGCGCAUAUACAAAAAUUGGAACAAAACAGAGAAGAUUAGCAGGGCACACAAGGAUGACACCCAAAUUCAUGAAGCAUUCCAUAUUUUU